UAGCUCAGUUGGUAGAGCAUGGUGUUUGCAAUGCCAGGGUUGUGGGUUCGAUUCCCAU
rfam:Salmo salar isolate Sally breed double haploid chromosome ssa10, whole genome shotgun sequence.